rnacentral:rRNA from 1 species
AUGAGAGAUGACAAAGGAAACUUCAUAGUAGGUGGUAACUGGAGGAUUCAGAACUAUGCGGAUGCUCUGACAGCGGAGGCGGUAACACUCAGAUUUGGCUUACUAUUGGCACAAAAGAAGGGAUGCAAUCGUCUAAUUAUCAAUUCUAAUAAUAUGGAGGUCAUUGACACAAUGAACAAUGGAGGAUAGUCUGCGGGGGCGGCUGCUUUUUGAGGAUUGUUUUUUAUGGCCUGUGAUUUUCCUCAAACCAGUUUUGAACAUUGUAACAGGGAAGCGAAUAAAGUAGCUCAUGAGCUUGCUAUAUUAGCAAAAUGUUCCAUGACUAGGGAUUGGAUAGAGGAGCCCAUGGAAAAUCUUGUAACUCUCUUGAUAGACGAUGUAACCGUUAUUGCUAAUUAA